rnacentral:lncRNA from 1 species
AUGGCCAGGCUUGGUCUUCUGGGAUAUCGAUCUGGAUGGAUACUACUCGAUCUGGAAGUUCCACGGCCUCUCAAAUUUCACACUUAUUUUGAUUGAUCCGGCGAUCCCGACCACGCAUCACCUGAAAAUCUAAAUCUGUCGCACCUGCGGCAAAUGCAAAUACCCAAAUAGCUUAGGUUAGGGUUUGAGUGUUGGUUUCGCAUAGAAGGAAAUGAAGAGAAGGAAGGGUGUACGCGUACCUGUCGUUUCCUAUAUGGAGAUAGCGACAGACAUCCCCCAGUUGCGUUAUUGAGCCAGGGAACGCUUGCCGGUUGAAUGGGAGAAGAAAGGCAAGCGGUGCAAGGAGUUCCGAUGCGGCGGCCGGCGGCGUAGCAAGUUGGGGAUCUGCAAAAAGAGAUGCCGCACCAUGUUGACGUACUGUAGGCGCGCUAGCUGCAACCUUUGCAGAUCCGACCGCGCAGAGGUCGCCAACAACGAUGCCAGCACCGCACCAUGUGAAGGGCUCUCUGAAAGGGAAAUGUGCCCUUAGGCCAUUUCUAAGUAUUUUGGUGAUUGAGUGCAAACACAAGUGCUUAAUUGUGAAUCUAUGCCCAUGGAUGAACAAGGUGCAAAUCACAAGUAAAGGUAUGUUUCUAAGCCUUAGUACAUUGGUGUUAUGUACUAAUAUACUUGUCUAAGUGAUAGAAACAGAAAGAAGAAGAAAGAAGAAGAGUUGGCUGUGUACAGCCAAAAGACUGCUUCGGUCUGGAGCACCGGACUGUCCGGUGGUGCACCGGACAGUGUCCGGUGGUGCACCGGACAGUGUCCGGUGCGCCAGGCUGCCUCGGGCGAAGAAGCCGCUCUCGGGAAUUUGCCGACGGCGUACGGCUAUAAUUCACCGGACUGUCCGGUGUGCACCGGACUGUCCGGUGAGCCAACGGUCGGCUGAGCCAACGGCCGGCCGCGUGAUCUGCGCGGGACACGUGGCCUGGCCAACGGUCGGAAGGAGGCACCGGACUGUCCGGUGUGCACCGGACUAUCUGGUGCGCCAGAUCUGCAACGGUUGGCAACGGUCGGCUGCGCCUGUUAAGGAAAGAAAUCGGGCACCGGACAGUGUCCGGUGUGCACCAGACUGUCCGGUGCGCCUGACGACAGAAGGCAAGGAUGGCCUGCCAGAUUUGUUCUCAACGGCUCCUAGCUGCCUUGGGGCUAUAAAAGGAACCCCUAGGCGCAUGGAGGAGAACACCAAGCAACCUUAGAGCAAUCUUGAUCAUCCACACUCAGUCUUUGCGCAUUUGUUUGUCAUUCUAAGUGAUUCGAGCUCCGUUCUAGUGAGAACUUUGAGAUAGUCUUUUGAGCUCGAUUCUUGGCCGUGUGUGUGCGCAUUUUGCUGUGGAUUUGUGUGUGUUGCUUCCCUCCCUUACUCCGUACUUCUUUGUGAAACUCUAUUGUAAGGGCGAGAGACUCCAAGUUGUGGAGAUUCCUCGCAAACGGGAAAAGAGCAAAGAAAAGAAGAACACCGUGGUAUUCAAGUUGAUCAUUGGAUCACUUGAGAGGAGUUGAGUGCAACUCUCGUCCGUUGGGACGCCACAACGUGGAGUAGGCAAGUUUUGUACUUGGCCGAACCACGGGAUAACCACCGUGUCAUCUCUGUGAUUGCUUUCUUGUGGUUAUUGUGUUUUGACUCCUCUCUAGCCACUUGGCAAGAACUGUGCUAACACUUAACAAGUUUUUGUGGCUAUAAGUUUAAGUUUUACAGGAUCACCUAUUCACCCCCCCCCCUCUAGGUGCUCUCAAUUGGUAUCAGAGCCGUUCUCUUCAAGAAAGGGACUAGCCACCCGAAGAGAUGGAUCCCAAGGGGAAGGGAAUCGUGAUCAACGAUAAGGAGAAGGAGUCCUUCGUCAAUGAGCUCAAAGAUGACAAGCCUACCGACUCCGGCUCGGGUCAUAGACGAAAGGAAGGGAAGAAGAAGAAGACGAGGCGCAUCAAGGAGAUCGUCUACUACGACGACAGUGAUGAGUCUACUUCUUCCCAAAAGGACGACGACCACAACGACUACGAGCAAAGGAAACCGGUUAAUUCUAACUUUUCCUUUGACUACUCUCGUAUUCCGCAAAGCUCAAAUUCACAUUUGCUUUCCAUUCCACUCGGCAAGCCCCCACACUUUGAUGGGGAGGACUACGGAUUUUGGAGCCACAAAAUGCGUAGUCACCUAUUUUCUCUCCAUCCUAGUAUAUGGGAGAUUGUAGAUAGUGGAAUGCACUUUAAUAGUUCAGAUAGUCCUAUAUUCAUUAAUGAGCAAAUCCAUAAGAAUGCACAAGCUACUACUGUUCUUCUAGCUUCAUUGUGCAGGGAUGAAUAUAACAAAGUGAGUGGCUUGGAUAACGCCAAGCAAAUCUGGGAUACCCUCAAGAUCUCUCAUGAGGGAAAUGACGCUACCUUGCUCACCAAAAUGGAGUUGGUGGAGGGCGAGCUUGGACGGUUCGCGAUGAUAAGGGGCGAGGAGCCAACUCAAACAUACAACCGGCUCAAGACCAUUAUCAACAAAAUAAGGAGCUACGGAAGCACGCGAUGGACGGACCACGACAUCGUCCGACUAAUGCUAAGGUCCUUUACCGUUCUUGAUCCUCAUUUGGUGAAUAAUAUUCGUGAGAAUCCCAGGUACACCAAAAUGUCGCCCGAAGAAGUCUUAGGAAAAUUCGUCAGCGGGCGAAUGAUGAUCAAGGAGGCAAGAUACGUGGACGACGCCUUGAAUGGACCGAUCAACGAACCACAACCUUUUGCUCUCAAAGCAUCAAGAAGUAAGGAGGCACUACCUAGCAAGGUGACACAAAUUGAGGCGGUCGGACUUAAUGAUGAAGAGAUGGCUCUCAUCAUCAAACGCUUCAAGACGGUGCUAAAGGGUCACAAGGGGCAGCCAAGCAAGACCAAGACGAAGGGAAAGCGCUCAUGCUUCAAGUGCGGUAAGAUUGGUCAUUUUAUCGCUAACUGCCCCGAUAAUGAUAGUGACCAGGAAAAGGGAAACAAGAGGGAAAAGAAGAAGCAUUACAAGAAGGCAAAGGGCGAGGCGCAUCUAGGCAAGGAGUGGGACUCGGAUUGCUCCUCUUCCGACUCCGACAAUGAAGGACUCGCCGCCACCGCCUUCAACAAAUCAACCCUCUUCCCCAACGAGCGUCACACAUGCCUUAUGGCAAAGGAGAAGAAGGUAUGUACUCGCAACUCUACCUAUGCUUCUUCAAGUGAGGACGAAUCUAGUGAUGAGGAUGAAGUAGAUUAUUCAUGUUUGUUCAAGGGCUUAGAUAGAUCUAAGAUAGACAAAAUUAAUGAAUUAAUUGAUGCCUUGAAUGAAAAGAAUAUACUUUUAGAAAAGCAAGAGGAUUUGUUGUAUGAAGAACAUGAUAAGUUUGUAGAGGCUCAAAAAUCCCUUGCAUUAGAAAUUAAGAGGAAUGAAAUGCUUGCUUGUGAAGUGUCAACAUGCCAUGAUUCUAUUUCUAACUUAAAGAGCAUAAACGAUGAUUUAAAUGCUAAACUAGUAGAAGCAAAUAAAUCCAACUCUUGUGUUGAAUAUGUUGAAAUUUGCACUAGGUGUAAGGAUAUUGAUAUUAAUGCUUGUAGCGAACACUUAGUUUCUAUUUCAAAAUUGAAUGAUGAAUUAGCUAGUCUUAAUGCUCAACUUAAGACUAGCAAGAGUAAUUUUGAUAAACUAAAAUUUGCUAGGGAUGCCUACACGGUUGGUAGACACCCCUCAAUUAAGGAUGGGCUUGGCUUCAAGAGGGAAGCCAAGAACUUAACAAGCCAUAAGGCUCCCAUUCCCACUAAGGAGAAAGGGAAGGCCCCUAUGGCUACUAGUGCUAAAAAGAACCAUGCCUUUUUAUAUCAUGAUAGGAGACAAACUAGAAAUGCUUAUAAGAGUUAUAAUGAGUACGAUGAUUUUUCUCAUGCUAUGUUUGCUUCUAGUUCUUCAUAUGUGCAUGAUAGAAAUGUUGGUAGAAGGGAUGUUGUUCAUAAUAUGCCUAGGAGAAAUGUUGUUAAUAUUCCUAGGAAAGUUAAUGAGCCUUCUACAAUAUAUCAUGCUUUGAAUGCUUCCUUUGCAAUUUGUAGAAAGGAUAGAAAGGUAAUUGCUAGGAAGUUAGGGGCAAGAUGCAAGGGAGACAAAACUUGCAUUUGGGUCCCUAAGAAUAUUUGUGCUAACCUUGUAGGACCCAACAUGAGUUGGGUACCUAAGUCCCAAGCCUAAAUUUGCCUUGCAGGUUUAUGCAUCCGGGGGUUCAAGCUGGAUUAUUGACAGCGGAUGCACAAACCAUAUGACGGGGGAGAAGAAGAUGUUCACCUCCUACGUCAAGAAUAAGGAUUCCCAAGAUUCAAUUAUUUUCGGUGAUGGGAAUCAAGGCAAGGUAAAAGGGUUAGGUAAAAUUGCAAUAUCAAAUGAGCACUCAAUUUCUAAUGUGUUUUUAGUAGAGUCUCUAGGAUAUAAUUUACUAUCUGUUAGUCAAUUAUGCAAUAUGGGGUAUAACUGUCUAUUUACUAAUGUAGAUGUGUCUGUCUUUAGAAGAAGUGAUGGUUCACUAGCUUUUAAGGGUGUAUUAGACGGCAAACUGUACUUAGUUGAUUUUGCAAAAAAAGAAGUCGGUCUAGAUGCAUGCUUAAUAGCUAAGACUAGCAUGGGCUGGCUGUGGCAUCGCCGCUUAGCACAUGUGGGGAUGAAGAACCUUCACAAACUUCUAAAGGGAGAACACGUGAUAGGUUUGACUAACGUUCAAUUCGAAAAAGAUAGACCUUGUGCAGCUUGUCAAGCAGGUAAACAAGUGGGAGGAGCGCAUCACAGCAAGAAUGUGAUGACAACUUCAAGACCCCUGGAGCUGCUGCAUAUGGACCUCUUCGGACCCGUCGCCUAUCUAAGUAUAGGAGGAAGUAAGUAUGGUCUAGUUAUUGUUGAUGACUUUUCCCGCUUCACUUGGGUGUUCUUUUUGCAGGAUAAGUCUGAAACCCAAGGGACCCUCAAGCGCUUCCUCAGGAGAGCUCAAAAUGAGUUUGAGCUCAAGGUGAAGAAGAUAAGGAGCGACAACGGGUCCGAGUUCAAGAACCUUCAAGUGGAGGAGUUCCUUGAAGAGGAAGGGAUCAAGCACGAGUUCUCCGCUCCCUACACACCACAGCAAAAUGGUGUGGUAGAGAGGAAGAACAGGACGCUCAUUGACAUGGCAAGGACGAUGCUAGGAGAGUUCAAGACCCCCGAGUACUUUUGGACGGAAGCCGUGAAUACGGCUUGCCACGCCAUCAACAGGGUCUACCUUCAUCGCCUCCUCAAGAAGACGUCGUAUGAGCUACUAACCGGUAACAAACCCAAUGUAUCUUACUUUCGUGUAUUUGGGAGCAAGUGCUACAUUCUAGUGAAGAAAGGUAGAAAUUCUAAGUUUGCUCCCAAAGCUGUAGAAGGGUUUUUGUUAGGUUAUGACUCAAAUACAAAGGCGUAUAGAGUCUUCAACAAAUCAUCGGGUUUGGUUGAAGUCUCUAGCGACGUUGUAUUUGAUGAGACUAAUGGCUCUCCAAGAGAGCAAGUUAUUGAUUGUGAUGAUGUAGAUGAAGAAGAUGUUCCGACGACCGCUAUACGAACCAUGGCGAUUGGAGACAUUCGGCCACAGGAACAAUAUGAACGAGAUCAACCUUCUUCCUCAACUAAGGUGCAUCCCCCAACUCAAGACGAUGAACAGGUUCAUCAACAGGAGGCGUGUGAUCAAGGGGGAGCACAAGUUGAUCAUGUGAUGGAGGAAGAAGCGCAACCGGCACCUCCAACCCAAGUUCGAGCGAUGAUUCAAAGGGAUCAUCCCGUCGACCAAAUUCUGGGUGACAUUAGCAAGGGAGUAACUACUCGGUCUCGAUUAGUUAAUUUUUGUGAGCAUUACUCCUUUGUCUCUUCUAUUGAGCCUUUCAGGGUAGAGGAGGCCUUGCUAGAUCCGGACUGGGUGUUGGCCAUGCAGGAGGAACUCAACAACUUCAAGCGCAAUGAAGUUUGGACACUGGUGCCUCGUCCGAAGCAAAAUGUUGUGGGAACCAAGUGGGUGUUCCGCAACAAACAGGACGAGCACGGGGUGGUGACGAGGAACAAGGCUCGACUUGUGGCAAAAGGUUAUGCCCAAGUCGCAGGUUUGGACUUUGAGGAGACUUUCGCUCCUGUGGCUAGGCUAGAGUCCAUUCGUAUCUUGCUAGCAUAUGCCGCUCACCAUUCUUUCAGGUUGUACCAAAUGGAUGUGAAGAGCGCUUUCCUCAACGGGCCAAUCAAGGAGGAGGUGUACGUGGAGCAACCCCCUGGCUUCGAGGAUGAACGGUACCCCGACCACGUGUGUAAGCUCUCUAAGGCGCUCUAUGGACUUAAGCAAGCCCCAAGAGCAUGGUAUGAAUGCCUUAGAGACUUUCUAAUAGCUAAUGCUUUCAAGGUUGGGAAAGCCGAUCCAACUCUUUUUACAAAGACAUGUGAUGGUAAUUUAUUUGUGUGCCAAAUUUAUGUCGAUGACAUAAUAUUUGGUUCUACUAACCAAAAGUCUUGUGAAGAGUUUAGCAGGGUGAUGACGCAGAAAUUCGAGAUGUCGAUGAUGGGCGAGUUGAACUACUUCCUUGGGUUCCAAGUGAAGCAACUCAAGGACGGCACCUUCAUCUCCCAAACGAAGUACACGCAAGAUCUGCUAAAGCGGUUUGGGAUGAAGGACGCCAAGCCCGCAAAGACUCCGAUGGGGACCGACGGACACACCGACCUCAACAAAGGAGGUAAGUCCGUUGAUCAAAAAGCAUACCGGUCAAUAAUAGGUUCUUUGCUUUACUUAUGUGCUAGUAGACCGGAUAUUAUGCUUAGCGUAUGCAUGUGUGCUAGAUUUCAAUCCGAUCCUAAGGAAUGUCACUUAGUGGCGGUGAAGCGAAUUCUUACAUAUUUAGUUGCUACGCCUUGCUUCGGGCUCUGGUAUCCAAAGGGGUCUACCUUUGACUUAGUUGGAUACUCAGACUCCGACUAUACUGGAUGUAAGGUCGAUAGGAAGAGUACAUCGGGGACGUGCCAAUUCUUAGGAAGGUCCCUGGUGUCAUGGAAUUCUAAGAAACAAACUUCCGUUGCCCUAUCCACCGCUGAGGCCGAGUAUGUUGCCACAGGACAGUGUUGCGCGCAACUACUUUGGAUGAGGCAAACCCUCCGGGACUUUGGCUACAAUCUGAGCAAAGUCCCACUCCUAUGUGAUAAUGAGAGUGCUAUCCGCAUGGCGGAAAAUCCUGUUGAACACAGCCGCACAAAGCACAUAGACAUCCGGCAUCACUUUUUGAGAGACCACCAGCAAAAGGGAGAUAUCGAAGUGUUUCAUGUUAGCACCGAGAACCAGCUAGCCGAUAUCUUUACCAAGCCUCUAGAUGAGAAGACCUUUUGCAGGCUGCGUAGUGAGCUAAAUGUCUUAGAUUCGCAGAACUUGGAUUGACUUAUAACAUACAUGUGUUUAUGCCAUUGAUCAUGUUCCUUAUGCAUUUUGUUGCUUAUUGAUGGUGCUCAAGUUGUACAAGCACUCCCCGGACCUCACAAGUCCUUUUUGCAAGUAAUGCACACAUUUAGGGGGAGAUGUGCUACAACUUGACCCUUUGAGACUAACCAUUUGUUUGAGUUUGCUUGAUUUAGUCUCGAAGGAGAAUUGAAAGGGAAAAGGUGGACUUGGACCAUGCAAGACUUCCACUGCACUCCGAUGAGAGGGUAACUUAUUCCAAGUUCAUCUCUAUGAUCUUAUUGCCUUUGUCCUCUUAAUUGAAGAUUUUGGUGAGGCAAUGGGGUUAAAGGGCCAAGAUUGAUCCCGUUUUGGUGCUUGAUGCCAAAGGGGGAGAAAAUAAAGGCCAAAGCAAUAAAUGGAUCAGCUACCACUUGAGAGAUUUGAAAAUAGUAGGGUAGAGCUUUUGUUUUGUCAAAACUCUUAUUGUCUCUUUUGUGAAAAGUUGGCUUCUUGUGGGGAGAAGUAGUAAUUAUGGGAAAAAGGGGGAGUUUUUGAAAUCCUUGAUCAAUCUCUUUUGGAAUGACUCUCUUUAUGCUUCAACAUGUGUGUUUGACUUAGAGAUAGAGAUUUGAGUUCGAUUUACAAAAACAAACCAAGUGGUGGCAAAGGAUGAUCCAUAUAUGCCAAAAAUGAAUCAAAAUAAAUUUGAGGUUUAUUUGAAGUGAUUUUGCACUUGUUCUAGUUGCUUUGUGUUGUGUUAGCAUAAAUCACCAAAAAGGGGGAGAUUGAAAGGGAAAUGUGCCCUUAGGCCAUUUCUAAGUAUUUUGGUGAUUGAGUGCAAACACAAGUGCUUAAUUGUGAAUCUAUGCCCAUGGAUGAACAAGGUGCAAAUCACAAGUAAAGGUAUGUUUCUAAGCCUUAGUACAUUGGUGUUAUGUACUAAUAUACUUGUCUAAGUGAUAGAAACAGAAAGAAGAAGAAAGAAGAAGAGUUGGCUGUGUACAGCCAAAAGACUGCUUCGGUCUGGGGCACCGGACUGUCCGGUGGUGCACCGGACAGUGUCCGGUGCGCCAGGCUGCCUCGGGCGAAGAAGCCGCUCUCGGGAAUUUGCCGACGGCGUACGGCUAUAAUUCACCGGACUGUCCGGUGUGCACCGGACUGUCCGGUGAGCCAACGGUCGGCUGAGCCAACGGUCGGCCGCGCGAUCUGCGCGGGACACGUGGCCUGGCCAACGGUCGGAAGGAGGCACCGGACUGUCCGGUGCGCCAGAUCUGCAACGGUUGGCAACGGUCGGCUGCGCCUGUUAAGGAAAGAAAUCGGGCACCGGACAGUGUCCGGUGUGCACCGGACUGUCCGGUGCGCCCGACGACAGAAGGCAAGGAUGGCCUGCCAGAUUUGUUCUCAACGGCUCCUAGCUGCCUUGGGGCUAUAAAAGGAACCCCUAGGCGCAUGGAGGAGAACACCAAGCAACCUUAGAGCAAUCUUGAUCAUCCACACUCAGUCUUUGCGCAUUUGUUUGUCAUUCUAAGUGAUUCGAGCUCCGUUCUAGUGAGAACUUUGAGAUAGUCUUUUGAGCUCGAUUCUUGGCCGUGUGUGUGCGCAUUUUGCUGUGGAUUUGUGUGUGUUGCUUCCCUCCCUUACUCCGUACUUCUUUGUGAAACUCUAUUGUAAGGGCGAGAGACUCCAAGUUGUGGAGAUUCCUCGCAAACGGGAAAAGAGCAAAGAAAAGAAGAACACCGUGGUAUUCAAGUUGAUCAUUGGAUCACUUGAGAGGAGUUGAGUGCAACUCUCGUCCGUUGGGACGCCACAACGUGGAGUAGGCAAGUUUUGUACUUGGCCGAACCACGGGAUAACCACCGUGUCAUCUCUGUGAUUGCUUUCUUGUGGUUAUUGUGUUUUGACUCCUCUCUAGCCACUUGGCAAGAACUGUGCUAACACUUAACAAGUUUUUGUGGCUAUAAGUUUAAGUUUUACAGGAUCACCUAUUCACCCCUCCCUCUAGGUGCUCUCACUCUCGCCAAUGCUCAAGAAAAGGUUGAAGAGAGGCGCGGCCAACACGACGGCGUGUGGGGCGAGGAAGGGAAUGGCGCUUGUCUGGAAGCAUCGCGGCGUAUCGUUUGACAGAGUACGUGGAAAUGCAGAGAGAGUUCGUGUAGCCGUUCGUAAAUGAUCGAACGGUUAAAAAUAUAAAGGCGACGUGGAUAGCCUUAUCUUUGCAGUUUUGAACCGGCUUUAAUAUAUAGAAAUCUCGUUGCAUUAUCUAUUUUUGACAAUGAAGACAAUAUUUAGGUAUAUAGGAUGUUUUUAUAUAUAUGUGUUGGAAUAGGUCAGGAGAAUAUUUGAAUAUACAGUCGGAGAAGAAAUAUUAAAUAUUCUGGUCAAAAUCUCUAUUCUCGAUCAGUAACACGAAAAGAUCCUUCUAGAUACCCUAAGGCCGAUAGGAUACAACUUUGUAGAGUUCAGACCAAUUGACUCCGGGUUGCCACUUAUUAGUUAAGAUAAGAUAUUACAAGUACUGCCAGACAAUUUAAAGGGUGUUUGAAUGCACUAGAACUAAUAGUUAGUUGGCUAAAAAUUGUUAAUGAAAUUAGCUAGCUAACAAAUAACUACCUAACUAUUAACUAAUUUACCAAAAAUAGCCAAUAGCUGAACUAUUAGUUAUGGUGUUUGAAUGUUUCAACUAAUUUUAGACACUAACUAUUAGCUCUAAUGCAUUCAAAUACCCCUUAGGCCUUGUUCGUUUGUGUAGGAUUGGUGGGUCGGAACGAUUCCUAACCGGAUUGCUUCGCUAAUUUAUAUAAACUUUAAUUAGCUCGAACGAUUCCGGGUGUAAUCCGAUGCAAACGAACAAGGCCUUAGGCUGCUACAAUACGAGUUUGACGGAAAGAACUGGAACAAGCCGACCGGAUGCCUUCUUCUCGAUCCGCCACGUGUGUUGGACCCUGUACCCAAAAAAAAAACGCGAAAUCAUUGGCGAGAACGUGGCGCCGCCGUGGAACGUUGUCGCUCGACGAGCCCGCGCUGGCCAUGGGUCCCACGACAGAUGAGAUAGCACCGGUGGCGACCGACUCGAUGAUACAAGCGCGGCGUGUCUUUGCAGCUGCAGUGCAGGCCACAAGGAACCAACAAGGCAACAACCAGGUACUGGUACAAGUUUCCUCCCUGUCAAUGUCGUCGCCUUGCAAUUGCAAAUUGGAGCAGGUCGCCGAUCGCUUUCUUUUUGCCAGCGUGCGUACACACAUGGUGUGUACGACUGACAUAACCUACGCAACUGUAAAUGUAAUAAAGCGGAGUUCACGAAAUGGGCCAGCGGAUUUUCAAACGACCGGUCGGCAGCCUGCGGCAAUUUUGUUAUUCGUGAAAGUCUGAACAGCACAGGCACUGAGGCACAGCUUUCUCUUCUUUCUUUCUUUCUUUCUUUCUUUCUUUCUUUCUUUUUUCAAUCGAGGAGGAGCUGGCGGACAACUUUGCUCUCUGUUCCUUGCUUCCAUAGACUAAUCGAUCGCUGGCAUUUCGGAGUUUAUUAUUAUUGUUUGCUUAUUUGUCUUCUGCAUUACCAUUCAUCUUCUUCAGUCUUCACAUCACCCCUCUACUACCUCUAGACUUCUAGAGAGUAAAAAGAUAUCGGACAUGCUUUGACUGCGAGAAUACUGUGCUGCGCGAGCGAACGAACAAACAAACAUGCGCGCCUGGCACGAACGGCCCCGCUCGUCUCUCUGCCGCGACCCACCGCGAGACGACCGCCCGGCCACUCGCCGAUCCGCUUCGCAUGCGCACAUGCAGGCACGUAGCAGGCGCCACCACAUGGCACGGCAGCCCACCCCCCACGCCCAGACGCUAUAAAUCCCGGCCCCGCCCUCGCCUCCGUAGUCCGUACUACCCAGGCAAGCGAUCGUCGGAGCAGAGAGAGACUUCCUCGCCUCCAUCCCAUCCCGCCGCCGCCGUCUCUACGGUCGCUAAUAAGCCGCCGCAUCCAGGGAUGGAGAUGAAGAAGAUCGCCUGCGCCGUCCUCGUCGCCGCCUCGGCCACCGUGGCGCUGGCCGCGGAGGCGCCGGCUCCGUCUCCCACCAGCGGCUCCUCCGCGGUCGCACCCGCCAUCGUCGGGGCCGCCGUGGCCUCCUUCUUCGCGUACUACAUUCACUGAGCCGCCGGACGAGGAGCCGGAGCCGGAGGGAAGAGACCAAGGUGGGGGGAGAGACUUGGCUGCGCUGCGCUGCUCUGCUGCUCCCGCGCAUUCCCGAUGCGUGGGCGUGCUCUGAUUGGGCACGGCGGUGGCAGUGGCACACCUUCGUCUUCCUUUUGUUUGUUUUUUUUCCUUCCUCUUUCUACUUGAUUUUCAUUUAACGAAUUGGUAUCGCUGAUGCACCAGUUUAAUUUGGUGCCCUGUUAUUUGUUCUUUCCCUCGAGUGAGGGAUCGACACCUGUACCAUUGCUUGCCAUUUGUCUGGACCAGUUCAACAAUUCGAUUUAACCAUCACGUAUAUGUGUGCUUUGGAUAAACAUUAUUACAUUACCCUCAUGGUGAGGGGAUUGCCGGUUUGUUAUGCCUUAAUAUGCGUGAUUGAGAAUGUGCUUGCCGUGUGCCCUGCUCUGCUUUUUAACUGCUCUUAUAAAAAGUCGUAUAUUUGAGUCCUAAAAAUUAAAAUAGAAUCUGAUUUCAAAUAUUUAAAACUAUAGAAAAUAUUUACGGUUCAAACAGUUGAGUCAUAUAUCAUAUUAUUAGAAAAUAGAUUAUUUUAUUUAAGAAAAUAAAAAGUUUAGAAGUACCAUACAAAAUGAGGGAGGGUAAAGCAUCAACAUAAGAGGUCCUACAUUUACAAUUUGAGUACUAUAAUUAUUGUGAUAAAUAUAUUUAGGGCUAGUUUGGAAAUAUCAUUUUCCUGAGGUUUUCCAUUUUCUCAAAGAAAAUUAGUUUAUUUUCUCUUAGGAAAUUGAAAAUCCCAUGGAAAAAUGGAGAUGCCAAACUAGCCCUUAAAAAUAUUUAGGGCACGUACAACGGCCAUAAAUAAACUGUCUGUAUAACGCCACAUUAGCAUGAUUAUCCUUGUUGGACUCGGUUAAAUGAAGAUAGAUCGCCUCGCGUGAGGACGGCUCCUGCUCCUGCUCCAAGGGCUAGGGAUGGAUUCGGAUGUCUGGAGAUCCGAAAUAUCCGUAUUCGUAUUCGGAUAAAGUGCUAAUAUGGAUAUCCGUAUUCGUAUUCGAUUUUAAUAUGGAUGUUAAAUAGACAUAUUCGAAUUCGUUUCUUCUCUAUCCGGUUUAAGAUUCGUAUUCGACAACAUUCGACAAAACCGUGAAAUAUCCGAUACUAUUCGUAUUCGAAAGAAAAAAGUAUUCAAUAAAAUCAAUUUAAACUUACUUUUAUUACUAAUUACAAGUGAUUUUAAACAUUAAAUAAUAUACUAAAACCUGAAAUACACCAUUUAAAAUGUUAAAAAUAUUUAUAUCAUAAACAAAUGAUUGUGUUAAUCUUACAGUACUAGUGAUAUACAAUGAUAAAUUUUAAUAAUAUUAAAAAGUCUAAUUUUGAAUACAUUAGAUUAUUGGAGUUUGAGUCCAAAAUACAAAUAUACUUAAUAUAAAAAAGAUUAUAAUUAGAGUCCAAAAUAUAAAUAUACCAGGUAUAAAUAUUUUAUUUAAAAAUAUGAUAUUCAACUAAGUUUCAACUAAAUAAUGUAUAUGUACUAUUGUUCAUAAUUUGCUUGUAAUAUGAUUUUUAUCAACUAUAAACCCAUCGAUAAAACAAAUUAAUACUUGUUAUGAUGCUAUGUUCUAAAUUAAGUAAGUAUCCGAAUGUAAAUCCGAAUUCGAACUAUCCGUUUUGUAUACGUAUCCGACAGUAUUCGUAUCCGUAUUCGGAUUAAAAUAUGGUAAAUAGUGACAUUCGAAUUCGUUUCCAUGCGUAUCCGAUCCGAAUCCAUCCCUACCAAGUGCAAGGCAAAUCGCCCGCUUGUAGCCUAUUGUACAUAGUUGCCGCCAGUCUGCUGCUUGCAUAUGAUUAAAUACUGGUUUGAAUGUAUUUAUCUGCAGACGCUCAUUGUAUAUAAUGUUUUUAUUACUGUUUUGUGUAUGACGCGGCGACUCAAAUAGACAGCAGCCGUUUAUAGGACUUCUAUUGAAGAUGCUCUAAUUAGAAUGAUGGUACCUACGACGUUAGUACACACUACAGAAUGACGGAAGGAAUGCCCCUGCAAGUUGAUACUGUUGCCCCUGAGGUCAAGGGUUAAUCAAAUUUCUCAUUUUACUCAUCCGAAAAGGUUGCGAAAUUAACACAUGCAACAUGGCAGUUGCCUCCAGAAUUACUGUACAAUUAGUAAAUGUUGGGUAGAGGAUCCAAAUGGCCCCAAAUACACUGCUUUAACAUUUAGAAAUGAGAAAAACUCCAUUUCAUCUUUCAUCAACCGUCACAAAAGUUAGGUUUUCUUUCCUCAACUAUAAAAUCGGACAUGGUUGCACUGUCGUCUCUGUUAGGUUUUCUUUUCUCAACUACAAAACCGGACAAAUGAAAACCACCGAGAAAACAGUCAGAGAGGUCAUGUGUUCGAGGAAAGAGUUAUGUUCGAUUUUAUAGUUAAGGGACGAAAAACUAACUUUUAAGAGAGGUAAAAUAGAUUUUUUUCCCCCCUUUUGAAAUCAUACGAAAAUUUUAACCACCAGAUGACGCUGUUCAUCUCACUGCAAAUGCGAGAGAAAAAAAUACGGAGGGAGAAACCAACUUAGAUCCAUCUGGUACAAAAAGAAUGGAAAGCGAAUAUAGAUCUAUCGCCAAAAGACAAGCAGAUGAAUAUCUCACUGAAGCAUCGACAUUCCACGCCGUCUCUUACUUUAGCAACCUGCACCGCACCGGAAAGUUUUAAGCUCAAAAAAAAAAAGCCUCCAGAAAAGCUGCAAACUUGCACCGCCCAAGUGGCCAGCAACACUUAACUUUGCGUCAUGUCUAGUGCAAGCAGCAUGCGAGGGCAAUGGCGGCAAAUGAUUUUUAAGCUUCAUUUCAGAGAAAAUUCGACACGGCAACAAUGCAGCAGGGCACCAACUUCUUAAAGAAGUAAAUUGCAUGUUAUUUCAGGCAUCCAUGCUGGAUCUACCAGCUGGAAAGAAACACAACACAUCCAGCCAGCACACGAUAGAAAAGAUCAAUCUAUACAUGCGAAAGCUAAUAUAUACUGCGGUCUGCAUACUGAACAGACAUUAAUCUGAGAUGAGAAGGGCCAGCACUGAACAAAAAAAAAUGUGUCACUUCAAGAAGCCGGCCGCCACACCUCUCAAGUCAACACCUUGGCCUUUGCAAGGUCAAGAACGUUACGAUCAAUAACAUAAGGAUUUCCCCAUCCUGGUGCAGGAAAAAGAGCAUAGCGAUGUUUGCAUAAACUAGCAGCAGAGUUGCAUCCUUCCUUGAGUGAAAAGAGACCUGAAACUCAGUGGACUCUGAAGGUGAUUGAGAGUGAUAUGAGUUAUCCUUCCAUUGAAGGCACCUAUUUAUUUGUAAUCGAGAAAAGGAGUACCAAUAAUUGGCAAUUAUUAUUCUGGGAUAAAGGGCUAAUUUAUCUAGCAGCUAAUGCCUAUCUAUUGGGGUGAUGACAGUGCUGCCGGUGAAUCUGCACUAUAAAAAGGAUCGAGAGAAGCUACUAAACAGUGUAAUUCAGAAGAAACAUAAGGGUUACAUACCUAGCAAGCUGAGAAUGUCUAGUGCAUAUCCUGUACAAAACCACAGUGGAUUUUCCAUUCUAAGUUUAACAAAUCUUAUAGUAAAGAGCAAUCACAUUUACGAUAUCAAAUGAUCUUCGUUAGAUAAAUUAUGAAAUGUAUUUUUAUAAUUUACCUCUAAUGUGGUACAUGUUUUUAGUUUAGUCCAGAAACUUGGUGAAACUCAGAAUGGUUGGACUUAGGACAACAUAGAAUCCAUUAUAUUUCAAGGCUACUGGAGUAGAAAUGCAGAAGGUUACAGUGCAAUUGUACUCUGGUAAUCAGGAUUGCUUUCCAGGAAUGAUGGACAUCUGUGCUGGCCUGUCAUAGAACCACAAGGUUCUUUCUAUAUCCCACCCUUCUCAUGCAUCAAGAGACCAGUAAAAGGGGACAUGGCAAUUGGAGAUCUUAAAAUGAAAUAUUGCUCUCCAAAGACAACAGGAAGCGACAGAUCCCUGUGUUGAAGAAUUAAUAAAAGAUCAAGGUCACAGCUUUUCAAGGUCCACUAGAGUGUUAUACUAUCAUAGUGUCACGUAGCAUGACCACGGUGUAUCCAUCUUCCACCAGGAAACAAUAAAUAGCAAAAAGCCAAAUUAUAUAGCUCAGAAAUUUUCAAAAGCAAUUAAGAAAAAAUCCAACUGUUUAGUUCAUGUCAAUAUCGUAAGAGACUAGUACACUAAAAAUAAUAGACAACUUAAUCCAUUCAUGUUAUUAUCCCUACACCAUUAACACUUAACAAGGAACUUGGUUAAAAAACAGUAUCUGGAUUUCGUUAGCACACUCACAGAGGAUCAAUUGAAUUGUCUACGGUACUGGAGCUGCAGUUAGACAAAAUUAAUCUAUAAUGCUUCAUAAUCAAACAAUACCACAAAGGGAUUAUUUGGUUAGAUUUAUCAAAUAAUUCACAAAUCACUAAUUGGUCAUAAGAGAGUCAUGCAGUAGGCAAGCUAAACCUAUAGGAUAUCUGAUCAAAAUAGAUCAAUUUGGAGUUGACAUGCCUAAGUUCCAAGAAAACUCACUUAUCCGACGGAAGACAAACAAAUAACACAUACAAACAGGAUACAGGCAAAUCUUAUCUGCCAAUUCCAGACAUAGCAUAACCAAGGCACGAUAGAAACAUUGUACUUCUGAACACAGAUAAAUACAGAGGUGCAUUAGAACAGAGGAUACAGCAAGUGGAAGAAUACUGUACUGCUAACUAGACCUCCAUCUUUUGAUAGAGAUAUUGGUCUUAAGGUGUCCAAAUGAAUUUCUGGUCUAAAAUUGAUACUAAAGAUGAUUGCAAAAUAAUUUGUGAUACUCCACAUCAUCUAAAUGUUUGAGAUGUUAGAUUACCAUAUCAGGAGUUCAGGAGUCAGGACCAUACAUGACCUCUCUUUUUAAUCUUGCGAAAGUCAGGAUCAAAAGGGGCAAAGAGAUCCCACCAGGCCACAACAACUUUAAUGAUGGCUGAGGACAACAUGCAAUGACCUCGUUGCAAGAAAAAUAUAGUAGAUUAUAAAUGUCUAACUAGAUAAUUAAACAAUCACCACAAAGGACAAUAGUAUAAGUACUAGUUGGUUAAACUAUUGAAAGAUUAUGACAACCAUGUCUUUAGGUAAUUUACAAUCAAAGUAAUCCUCACAAUAACACAAAAGAUGUUCUCUAGUUGGCCGCCAUUAUCAUAAUUGAUACACUGUUAUUUCCAAUUUACUAUAUUUGACAUCUUUUAAGAACGAAAACAUCUGAUCAUAUCGGAGUUCUGAACUAAGCACAUAACUAGACUGCCUAUCAUGGUUUUCAAAGCGGUAUGGCUAUACAAAGCGUUGGACUGCCGCUUGGACGCCUAGGCGAGAUAGGCGAGCAAGGCGUUGGGCCACCGCCUGGACGCCUAGGCGACGCCUUUAAAACAGUGCUGCCAAUCACAAAGGUAUGAGAACACAUUUCAUCCUGAUCUGAGUAUCAAUUCAAUCAGCUACAAUGAUAUUCUAGUGUAAGAUGGUAUUGGUAAUACAACCUUGUUACCUUGCCAAAUCACCAAUGAACCCAAAACACAGUUCAAUAGUAAAAGGGAAGCAGCAAUAAAGAAUUGUGGUUGUAGCCAAUUUAUUAACAAACAGGAUAUCGGUAUGGAGCUGGUUCAUUUAAAAGGAAGAUACUACAUUUUACCAAUUGGUUCUACAAGCUGAAGAUUAAUAUCAUUGUAAUAGAAAUGUCUCGAACAAUCAUAUUUUAAUCUCCCCUCUCCCGUGUACAAUCACCAAAACUAAGCAUAAUCCAACAUCCAAAAGCACCAAAAUAUCUUUAGUUCGAAGUCUACUUGCCUAUUAGCAGUGCAUUUUUAUUCCUUUUGAUACUGAAAACUAAGUAUCCUUCCGGCAGAGGUCUGAACUUAAAAUCAUCUAAUAAACACCGCAGCAACUGACGCGACAGACACUCCCAGAGCGCAAGAGAUGGCCAUCACCCGUGUCCGGAGCAGCAUGAGGUUAACGUUCUUCGUAGCCUGGAGGCACAACGUGAGCACCUGCAGCCUCGCGUUGGCCUCCAUCUUCUGGAAGAAGGCGAUGGGCUUGAUGGCGCGGCGUAGCACCAGGGCGACCGCGAAGGGGAACGCGAACGCCGCCACUCCCUGCACUGCCGCGGCGGAUCCGACACCGAGAGGCGGAGCACCGUAAGAUAUCCACGCGCCGGCGGCGAGGUGCGCUCCUCCGAGGAGCGCGAGCGAGCCGCUGAGGCGCUGCACGGUGCGGCGGAGCGCGUCGAGCUCCCGCCGCGUUUCGUCGGCCAGCGGCGACGUAUCGCGCUCCACCGUGGGGCCCUCGAUCUCCUGGUGCCGCAUCUCAUCCGGCGACGCGGGCGCGGAUGGGGCGCCUUGGCUGGGCUCUGAUGUCGUGGAGGAGGGGUUGGGGCUGGGGUUUGAGGGCGCGGAGAAGAAGCGGCGGCCGGGAUUCAGGAGGAUGAAGGGGUCGCGGCCAUGGGUGAAUGUUUUAGGUAUGGGGAAGUGCGCGGCGGCGACAGCCGUUGGGCUCAGGAGGCGGUGGGAGAGGCGCGAGAGCGCCAUCGGAGGCGGAGCCUGCAACAACGCUGCAAGCCUGACGAGGAAAGGUCGCGGCGGCGGCGGCUCGCCUGUUUCGGAUUUCUGAAAAGUUGUCUCCCGUUUCCCCAGUCAAGAGUCAAGGCGUAAUCUGGGAAUACGUUUGCUCCCCUCGUAUGCGGUAAGACGUUGAACUCGGAGUAAAGUUUUGCUAGCACACUGCAUACGUGGCAUCACAAGGAAAACGCUGUACUAGGGUAGGGACACGCUCGCCGGCAGGUUCGGGCUGCCUUCCUCCACAAUCCAGCGGCUGCCGCACGGCUCGGCCUCGGUCCUACAGCUACAAGAACCAUCUCUCUCUCUCUCUCUCCUCUCACUCACUCACUCCCCCCAUUCCUACCUUUCUUCUCCUCCACCUCGUCAGGCACCCUCAAACCCUCGCCGCAAGAAAGAAGAGGUCAAUCAAAUCGAACCAAAACCUCCCGACCCCACAAGGCCAAGCUCAUUUCCAUGGUGGUGUACACGCAGGAACAUGUGUACCGGCACCCGUGGGACCGGGUGACAGCGGCGGCGUGGCGCAAGUUCACGGAUCCGGCCUCCUGUACGGCGCUCUCCCACGUCGCAGACGUUCACACCCUACACCGCCGCCUCGACUCCGACACGGGCCGCCUCCAGGCCGCGCGCUCCAUCACCGUGCGGUCCCCGCCGCUCCCUUUCGUCCUGCGCCGACUCCUCCCGUCCGCCGCGGCGUCCCCAAACGGCGCCGCGCUCUGCCACUGCGUCGAGACCUCGCUCGUGGACGCCCAGCGCCGCGCCAUGGACGUCGUCGUGCGCAACGUCAGCCUCCGGGGCCUCAUCGAGGUCGAGGAGCGCGCCUCCUACAGACCACAUCCGGACCGGCCCGACGACUGGACGCAGUUCAGGCAGGAGACCACGAUCCGGUGCCGCCCGCUCGCGGCCCUCGCCGCCGUCGCUGAGAAGGUCGAGACCCGGUGCGCCGAGAGGUUUCUGCAGAAUAGCGCCAAGGGGAGGGAGGUCGUCGAGCGGAUCUGCCGGUACCUCGAGGCCGAGUCCGCCGGCGCCGCGCCCUCCGUAACCUGAUCUCGUUUGCACAUCUUUGCUUGAUCCGAACGGAUCCAAGGGUUCCUCGAUCUGUGCUGUGUGCGCCCGGAUAAAUCGAACCCCGCCUGCUAGGCGCUUGCUUUUCUUCAUUUUUUGUGUGUGAAAUGAUGAGCUGAAUUCGGAAUAGAAUAAAGCUUCUGGUCAUACUUGUUUCUUCUGUUGUAAGUAUGUGGAACCGCUUUAACCUCCCUGAUUUUGAUCAUGAGCCUUGCCAAAUUCUAAUUUGCUAAUAAAUUUAAAUGCUAUGAAAUCACUGAUGUUUGUUGUGUUAUUUUGAUUGACUGAAUGGUUGCUCAUGCUUUGAUUGACUAGAUUUAGUGGUGUUCUCAUUCACAGAAAAGGGUGAGGUCAUUGAUCUGUUGUUCUUUAAGCUGGUAGCAGAUUGUCCCCUUGGUUGAUUGGUAAGAAUAGUAUGACAUCGUGAAGUAAAAUACUUUCCAUAUCUAGUCUAUUCUAGCAAUGUGUCAUUCUUGAAGCUGGGCAGGUAGUGUUUAAUGGUAGAUACCCCAUAGCUUUUUGUCGUACACUUCGCUAAUACUUUUAUCUGUGGAACCAUUUUGAUAAUCUCCCCUUCCAACUCUUUGUGCUUGCUCUUGCAAAUUUGAGAUAUUACAUAAGUUAUACAUAUCGGUGCUUUAAUCUAUUCAAGGCAUGUCCAGAUAAAUCAGAAAGUGAACCGAUGUGUCAUUCUUGAAGCUGGGCACAGUAUUUCUGUCUCCUUUGUACAUUUGGUUUAUUGGUAAGAAUGGCAUGACAUAUAUUGUGGAUAGCAUUGCUUUCUGAUAUUACAAGUCUAUACUCUAUAGUUGUAAUAUAUAUAUGAGCUUCUCCAUGGUUUUCUAAGUCAUGUAUCUACUAAUUAUCAUAAGCUUAUCCUUUUCUUGCUUACUGGAGCGGUGGAUCCUUGGGGUUAUGAACUUAGAUAUUGUAGGCUGCUUGUGCUUGUACUGUUGUGGAUGAGUAGUUAGGUUCCAUGACUUCGAUUAGUCUGCUCAGUUGGCAUAAAUUGAGAAUUGAUGGAAGCCACUAAGCUAGUCAUAGCUCAAGUAACUAUAAUAACACCACCUCCAACUAAUCUAUUAUGUGAUGCUCUUAAUUUCGAACAAAUUUCAUUUGCUUUGUGUUUUCAAUCAUGUGAAGUCUUUAGUAAGUAUGGAAUGUCCCUCACGGCAUGGAUUCCACUUUGAUGCUGUGUCUUGCAACCACAUUUGUACAUCGUAGACCAAGCUACUGCAUCCCUGCAAGUAUGAUGUAUCCUUACCUGAAUUGGAUUCUUGCUGUAUAUUUUACUCUGAAGAUACUUUUUAAAUGUUCUUAUUCACCAUCUUUCAGAGCAUAGUUCUUUAAUCUUUACUAUUCCCUCCAUUCCAAAUCAUAAGGUUUCUUUGCUGUGCACUUAGGUAUAUACUAUGUCUAAAUACAUAAUGCUGCACUUCCUGUGCUUUUCAGCUAUAUCUGUUGCUGCAUGCUGCUUAAAAUUUGAACCGUUGAAAUCUGCUGCAUAGAAUCUGAACUGUGCAUGCAGCAGCAGCUGCACCUGCACCUGCAGCACAAAAUGUGCAGCCGAUCAGGCUGGGUUCAGAAGCCAAAGCGUCUUAUAUUUUGGAAAGGAAGUAUGGAGUACGAAGUAACAAUGUGGUUGUGGGCAACUGCUAGUUCAGAAGUCUGGAAUGGUUUAGGCUAAUGUUAUUCAUUUGGUAGGAAGUUGUGAAACAAAACGUGCUGGCUUCUUACCACUGUAGUCAACUGGUGGUUCUCACUUGUUUGUUCCCUCUGAACUUCAUGGCCGCAACAUCUUUCAGACUAUGAAAUCUGUGUGGUCUAUGCUUGUUCAGAAUUUCUCUUAGUAGGCAUAUUUGACCGUGGCUACAAAUUUUCACGAGGGCGUGGUCCGAAAUUCAGAACGCUGCUUCAUUAUCACAUGGACUGCGGUUUGUUUUCGCACUGACAUGAUUUGACAUUGUUAUUAACAUUUGUGAACUGGUUUUGUGCGAUAAACAGCUGUAAAAUAAAGUAAUUUCUGUGGUUGUAAAUUGUACUACCUUCUCGAAUAUCUGUCGCCCGCCGUUAGUUCAUAUUUGUCAAUGCUGCCUUUGGCUUGGGCGGAGGGAGGCUCCCCGCUUCCUGGUGUCUGCAGAUGUAAUCAGGGUAUUGCCUGAUGCUCUCUGGUAUCCGCCGAUGUGAUCAUGAGCUUAUCAAUCACCUUUUAUUUUCUGAUUCUGAAAACUUGAUACUUGAAGCCGAUAUAUUAUUCAGUAGUCGUUUUGUCUGUCGAAUGUUAUCAGUCCCUGCAAGGAUCACACCACGCUGCGCUCUCUGACUGUUUUGGCUUCGGCGGAGUUGCGGUUCGGUUAGUCAGUUUGCAUAGUUCCUCGUUGCAGAUGAUCGUAGUUUACAAAAUUCUGGUCGUGUUCGUGUUAGUUGUUGUGCCGCUCUUGCUCGGUUGAUGGCAAGAUGGCAGCUAUAUGUGGAACUGAACUGCCCUGUCAAAUCAAAGCCAAACUGAAUCACCACCAACAAGCAGCUGAAGCCAACGUCUCAACUGGGACUGGGACAGCCUACCCUUUACUGAUAAUAGCACGCAAGUCAAGUAGUCACCAUAACUUUUUUUUUGAGAAUCAAGUAGUCAACAUAAUUGUUGGGACUAGGAGUCUCUCUAGGAGACUAGGAGAGGCGAUUCGGAUAAAUAAAUGACUAAAAAUAGGAGUAGAGGGCCUACCUAGAUGGGCCUAAUUAUUACACAUGGGCUGGCCAUGUAUGUGCGCGGGGUGGCCCGGAACAUUAGGUAGCCCUAACUCGCGCCGCUAUAAAAUGGCGACUCUGGCGAUCAGGGUUUAUCUCGACUCCGCAACCUCCCUCUAGCCCGAGCGAAGAAGAAAGGAGGGUGCUCUGCCGGCGGCGGAGCGGAGAUGUCCGAGAGGAGGCGCGGCGCCGGCGCCGGCACCGGCACCCGCAAGGAUGAGGUGGUGACCCGCGAGUACACCAUCAACCUCCACAAGCGCCUCCACGGAUGGUACUACCACCAACUUUCUCUUCCAUUUCCCAAGCUUAUUAGAUCCACGUGUUGGGGAGCAUAGUGUUGUUCUAUAGCCGCGUCGGGCUUACACAUCAGAUGCUGGUGCGGAGGGUUGCGGCCUGUGAGCACUAUGUGGGCUUGCGAAUGGUCGAUACACCUGAUCGGAUGCAUUAUCUUUUACCAGCUAGACUACAGUCGGGAUCACCUGACCGAGCGGGAAUAGCGUGUAGUUGAUCUUGCUCUUGUAUCUGAUCCCACAUUC